GAUCUGAGCCUGGGAGCUCA
rnacentral:misc_RNA from 1 species